rnacentral:sRNA from 1 species
GAGGCGGAGCUUGCAGUGAGCUGAGAUCUGGCCGCUGCACUCCAGCCUGGGCGACAGAGCGAGACUCCGUCUCAAAAAAAAAUAAAAAAACCAUCCCCAGUAGAAGAGGGCCAAUGUUUGGUCAAGGAUAUAUAAGUAGUUACAUUCCCCUGCUAGAACCUCCAAACAAGCUCUCAAGGUCCGUUUGUAGGAAAAUGUUGGAUAGUCAAACUUCCAAGACUCCAGACACAUCCAAAUAAGGUGGCAGUCUGUUUUUUUUUUUUUU